UACGUAGGCAGCGAGCGUUGUUCGGAAUUACUGGGCGUAAAGAGUGUGUAGGCGGUGCUCUAAGUUCGGUGUGAAAUCUCCUGGCUCAACUGGGAGGGUGCGCCGGAAACUGGAGUGCUUGAGCGUGGGAGAGGAAAGCGGAAUUCCUGGUGUAGCGGUGAAAUGCGGUAGAUAUCAGGAGGAACACCUGUGGUGUAGACGGCUUUCUGGGACCAUAGCUGACGCUGAGACACGAAAGCGUGGGUAGCAAACAGG
rnacentral:rRNA from 1 species